GACAUAGCUCAGUUUGUUAGAGUGUGGUGCUGAUAUUGCCAAGGUUGCUGGUUCAAUUCCCAUAUGAGACA